rnacentral:rRNA from 1 species
AUACGUAGGGAGCGAGCGUUGUCCGGAAUUACUGGGUGUAAAGGGAGCGUAGGCGGGAGUGCAAGUCAGAUGUGAAAUACAUGGGCUCAACCCAUGGGCUGCAUUUGAAACUGCAUUUCUUGAGUGAAGUAGAGGUAAGCGGAAUUCCUGGUGUAGCGGUGAAAUGCGUAGAUAUCAGGAGGAACACCGGUGGCGAAGGCGGCUUACUGGGCUUUUACUGACGCUGAGGCUCGAAAGCGUGGGGAGCAAACAGGAUUAGAUACCCUGGUAGUCCACGCUGUAAACGAUGAUUACUAGGUGUGGGGGGACUGACCCCUUCCGUGCCGCAGUUAACACAAUAAGUAAUCCACCUGGGGAGUACGGCCGCAAG